CCCUUCUCAGGGUCCCACCUGGAGAGUUUCCAGCACUCUACCAGUCUCAACUACAAAGAGGGAGAGUCAAGCAGAGGGCUAUUCAUUCCAUUCCUAGCUUGGGCAGUGGCUAGCAAGUGGAAGGCAAUCUGCUACAAGU